UAGUCAUAUGCUUGUCUCAAAGAUUAAGCCAUGCAUGUCUCAGUACUUGCUUUUACAAGGCGAAACCGCGAAUGGCUCAUUAAAUCAGUUAUGGUUCACUAGAUCGUAAAUUUUACACGGAUAACUGUGGUAAUUCUAGAGCUAAUACGUGAUUCAAGCUCGCUUCCUUGUGGAGCGAGCGCAGUUAUUAGAUCAAAACCGAUCCGGCCUUCUGGUCGGUAAAAUUGGUGACUCUGAAUAACCGAAGCGGAGCGCAUGGUCUCGUACCGGCGCCAGAUCUUUCAAGUGUCUGACUUAUCAGCUUGUUGUUAGGUUAUGUUCCUAACAAGGCUUCAACGGGUAACGGGGUAUCAGGGUCCGAUACCGGAGAGGGAGCCUGAGAAACGGCUACCACAUCCAAGGAAGGCAGCAGGCGCGCAAAUUACCCACUCCUAGCACAGGGAGGUAGUGACGAAAAAUAACGAUGCGAGGGCUAAUAGCUUCUCGUAAUCGGAAUGGGUACACUUUAAAUCCUUUAACGAGGAUCUAUUGGGGGGCAAGUCUGGUGCCAGCAGCC
rnacentral:rRNA from 1 species